GACGAACGCUGGCGGCAUGCCUAAUACAUGCAAGUCGAACGCUGAAGCACUCUGCUUGCAGAGUGCGGAUGAGUGGCGAACGGGUGAGUAACACGUGGGAAAUCUGCCUAUAAGAGGGGGAUAACAUUCGGAAACGGAUGCUAAUACCGCAUAUAUUCUUGGACCGCCUGGUCCUUGAAAGAAAGACGGCUUUGCCGUCGCUUAUAGAUGAUCCCGCGGCGUAUUAGUUAGUUGGUGGGGUAAAGGCCUACCAAGACAAUGAUACGUAGCCGACCUGAGAGGGUGAUCGGCCACACUGGGACUGAGACACGGCCCAGACUCCUACGGGAGGCAGCAGUAGGGAAUCUUCCACAAUGGGCGAAAGCCUGAUGGAGCAAUGCCGCGUGAAUGAAGAAGGUCUUCGGAUCGUAAAGUUCUGUUAUUAGAGAAGAACAAGUCAAGGAGUAACUGUCUUGACUUUGACGGUACCUAACCAGAAAGUCACGGCUAACUACGUG
rnacentral:rRNA from 1 species